UAAGGAGAAGUACAGGGAGUACGGAGAAUUUUGAUUUCUCAGGUGUAGGUUCAAUUCCUACUUUCUUAA
rnacentral:tRNA from 1 species